UACGGAAGGUGCAAGCGUUAAUCGGAAUUACUGGGCGUAAAGCGCACGCAGGCGGCUUGUUAAGUCGGAUGUGAAAGCCCCGGGCUCAACCUGGGAAUUGCAUUCGAUACUGGCAAGCUAAAGUAUGUGAGAGGGGGGUAGAAUUCCAAGUGUGGCGGUGAAAUGCGUAGAGAUUUGGAGGAAUACCAGUGGCGAAGGCGGCCCCCUGGCACACUACUGACGCUCAGGUGCGAAAGCGUGGGGGGCAAACAGG
rnacentral:rRNA from 1 species